ACGGGGUGGCGGCGGAUGGGUGAGUAGCCCGGGAAUAACCUGCCCUUAAGUCGGGGAUACCAUUUGGAAACCGAUGCCAACACCGGAUAAAAGCUACUUUCCCAUGAAACAAGUUUAAAAGGCGGUUUAAGCUGUCCCUUUGCGAUGGACCUGCCAUGCCUUAGCUAGCUGGCAAUGGAACGGCUUACCAAGGCGAUGAUGCAUAGCCCAUGUGAAAGACUGAUCGUCCCCAUUGUGACUGAGACUGGGCCCAGACUCCUACAGGAGGCGCCCAAAUGGAAGCUUCCACAAUGGACCCAGGUCUGAUGUAGCAACGCCACUUGACUGAACAACGUUUUCCGAUCGUUGAGCUCUGUUGUUGGCCA
rnacentral:rRNA from 1 species